CAAAAUGUAAAAGGUUCUUUCCAUUGACCGUAUAUUAAAAUGGACGUAGACUCUGGGUCUAGAAAGUGAAGUGAAUGAUCCAUUUAGAGUCAAAUAGACCAUAAAGCACUGCAGGUAUUGGGGCAUGGAUACUGUGUGAUUGACAGCUAGUAUUGGUUACAGGUCACUGGUUUAAGUGGGCGGGCAGUGUCCUUGGUCCCUCAGUCAGGCUCCACCCCCUUUCCUCCAAAUAUGGUUACUUCUGUUUUCAAAUAACCAAGAUGGCGCUGAACAACAUGUCAAAAAUGGAGGCUUCAAAAUGGCUGCUCACAAACCAAUGUGUGACAUCUUUUUUCUUGGUCCAUGUCCCGUCCUUCCACCAAGUUUAGUGGAAAUCAGCUUAUCAGUUUUUGUGUAAUCCUGCUGAUGAAUAAACAAACCAAUGGACAGGGGGCGCAACUACGUUCAAACCGUUUUGAAUGAACUGUGAUUAUUUGCAGGUUUCAUGAAUAAAGUCCAGUGAGGAUUAAUAUUUUCUCAUCUCUCCUCCAUCAGUCACACAACUGUCCUGAGUAUGAGAACGAUGCUGCUGCAGCACAGACAGAAGACACAGAGGAGCAGGAAGACCUGGUGUGAAGCAUCAGGUGCACUGUGAUUGGUUGAAUGUAUUUAGGAGGAACAGGAAGUUUCUCUCUUUCCAUCCCCUUUUGCAGCAGCAGCAGUUUGUGCAGCAUGACCUUUAGAGCAAGAGUAUUGUUGUGUUGUUUCUUUUCUUUUUCUUUUCUGAUGGGUCCAGUCGUCCAGUUUUUGCAGAUUUCUGUGAGCUUUAGUUCUGAUGUUGGUUUAGGUUACAUUUCAUUACAAGUCAUUUGGCUGACGCUUUUGUCCAAUUAGUACACUCAACAUUUACGAAGGGCCAUUCAGUAUCUUGCCAAGGACACUUCGGCAUGCAGACGGGGAAGACUGGGGUUUGAACCGGUAACCUUCUUGUUGGAGAACGACCACUCUACCCCCUAGUUCACACUGCCCUAGGUUGAAGGAAGAUUCUCAGAUCCUACGACCCUUUGUGGGUCUGUGUUUUGGGUUUUCCUUCUUUUGUCCAUAUUGCCAGCCUGUUGUUGAAGUUGUUGUCUUUUCUGCAAUAAAUUGAUUUUUUUUUUGCUGUUACCCUCUGAACUAUGUUGGACGUCUUGGUGAUGAGCCUUUGAGGCUGUGGUAACAUCUUGUGACUCAUCUCAUGUCUUAACAUGAUAUUAAUGUGGUUAUUACAUGGAUAAUGAAUUAUUAUGUAUCGUGAUUUUAUGAUUCUUCUUAAAUAAAAGGUUUUUGGUCUUUUGUUUUCA